rnacentral:rRNA from 1 species
AACGAACGCUGGCGGCAUGCCUAACACAUGCAAGUCGAACGAGACCUUCGGGUCCUGUUGCGAACGGGAGCGUAACGCGAGGGAACCUUCACUUAGGGUGGGAAUAACUCCCCGCAAGGGGCGACAAUAGGGGACGAAGUCUACGGACCAAUGAUUUAUCGACUUGGGAGGGGCACGCGUUAGAUUAGCGAUUUGGUAGGGUAAAGGUCUACCAAGGCUGAGAUACAUAGCUGGUCUGAGAGGAUGAUCCGCCACACUGGGACUGGGACACGGCCCAGACGCCUGCGGGAGGCAGCAAUGGGGAACAAUGGACACUGGGCGAGAGCCUGAUCCAGCAAUGCCGCGUGAGUCAGUAAGGCCUUAGGGUUGUAAAGCUCUUUUACCCGCGAUGAUAAUGACGGUACCGGGAGAAUAAGCUCCGGCUAACUCCGUG